GGCCGAGGCAGCGAAGAAGGGUCAGGGCCGACCUCGCGCGGGAGGUGGGCAGGCCCGCCCGGAGCCGGACGGACGGAAGAACGGACGGUCCAACGGCCCGCACUCACCAUGAGCUCGAUGGUCUUGUCCUCAAUCACCGAGUCGGGCUCCAUGGCGGCCCCGGCGGCCCCGCCUCGCUCUCCCCGCGCAGCAGCGAACAGCCCGGGCGGAGGAGGCGACGGCGGAGGCGGCAGAGGCGGAGGCGGCUAUCGCACCCACUCUAGCUGCCAGCCCGCCCGGGCCGCCGGCAGCUCCGCCCUCCCCCUCGGCGAACGCAGUACGCAGAGCUAGGACUACAGCUCCCAGCAGGCGCCGCAGGCCCUGUAGAGCGUUGUGGGAACGAGAAGCCGACACCAGGCCAAUCUCUCCUGACAGCUCGAAGCUGAAUUCUGAGCCGAAAGUAGCACUGGACUGUGAAUGCGAGACGUGCAGACGUAAAGAAUUAAGGGGUGCCUCAAGGUGGGGCCUCGGGAGCGAUACGACUACAUGUCCCAGAAAGCCCUGCGCUCGGGUUCUCUUUCCGGCUAGUUUCUCCUGACUUCCUGGCAGCCCAAGGCUACCCAGACCCGGACGGAAACUCGGAGGCAACUCUUCGCUUGACAGAUAUCCUGCGUGCGCGACUGAUUUCCGCACAUGCGCGGUCGGUGUCUGCGGGGCACAGGACACCUAGGUAGCGGAGCGGCUGGUGCGCUGUCGUCUGUGGUAGAGUGAGGUGUUGGCGACAGGUUCCCAUUUCUAGAAAACUGCUCCUAUCAGUAAACCGUUCGACCUCAGAGCUGUCAGGAGGUUCAUCGAGAAGAUCAGGCCUGCUGGACUCUUCUUCCAGAGCCUAGGACAGAGGGCAGACGGAGCUCGUUUGGAUCCCUUAGGACACAAGUCUUCCCCCACCACAGGACCCCCACCAAAGUGGCCUUCUCUGGAACUUCCCCUCCCAGGCCUCAGUGCUCGGGUAACUUGGUCUUCCCUCGCUCCUGUCCCAGCGCCCAUCACCCAGAAGGAUGCAGAUCACCACCUCCGGGCCAGUGUUCCAGCAGCAACCCAGGUGACUAAGGAUGGGAUGAUUCUACAAAGAAUUCUGGAAAGAGGCAGCCCGCACCAGCAAAGUCCAACGGCUCUCCAGAUACACACUGCGGCACCUCCCCUAAGCUCAGGCACCCCCAAGAAGCAAUCUGGGCAGUUGCUAGAGGCAAGAUGAUGAUUCAUUUUCAGCCUCUCAGGAUGUGCCAAGGGUAUAGAAGCCCUAGGUAAGAGAACCAGGUGAGCAUCUAUUUCCUGAUGCCAAAUCCGCCUGUGUCAGCAGGAGUGUAAUUGAUUUGAGUGUCAAGUAUCAAAAGUCCUAGCGGACCAUGCGUGGUUACAGAUAAGCGUGGGCCUAUUAACAGGAAGGUCUGGGACCCUGGCCAGCUUCCAGCUAGAAAGCUCCAUUAGCACAGGGAGGGAAGCUUCUAUUCAAGGACUCCCAAGGCCGUUAUAUGGCUGAGGUGGGCAACUGCCUCCUGGGCAGAUCACAGUUACAGCAAGUAGAGCUCAAGUACGACGGCAGAACAAACCUCAGGGCUCAGGACACAUGAUCAAGGGUAAUUAGGGCAGCUCUCUCCUCAGAGAGUUUAGGAGAGUGGGAGGACAUGAGUACGUCCUUGGCCUAUACUGUGGGCUGGUGGCUUUCUGCAUAACACUAUACAAUAUUCAUUAUCUUCACUUUACAAAUGACCACACUGAGGCCCUGUGAUGGUCAAUUUAUUUGUCAACCUGGCAAAGCCAUGGUAACCAGUUGUUUGGUCAAACACUAGUCUAGAUGUCACUGUGAAGGAAUUUUUUUAUAUGUGAUUAACAUUUAACUCAGUAGACUGAAUAAAGCAGCUUACCCUCCAAAAUGUGGUUGGGCCUCACUCAAUCAGUUGCAGGCCUUAAGAGAAAAGACUGAGGUCCCGCUAAAGAAAGAGGGAUUGGGCCUCCAUACUGCCCUGCGGCUCAGCGCUGCAACAUCAACUCUUCCCUGGCUCUCCAGCCUGCAGUCUGCCCUGCAGAUUUCAGGCUUAACAGUCCCAACAACUGGGUGAGCCAGUUCCUUCAAAUAAAUCCAUAAAUCUGUACCUCAUCCAUAUCUGUAUCUAUAUCCAUACCCCAGGCAGAACCGAUGGCACAACACGAAGCAGGGCCCACCACUGAGCCCACCAGCCCAGCCAGGGUUACCUUUUUGCGUGGCCGAAGCUUGUCCCGCCAUUCCUUUAGGUUCUGGUUAUGGCUUUCGUCCAGGGCCUUCAGCUUCUGGGUUUCAUGCUCUACCAGGAGGUGACACUUUUCAUUCUGCAACGUAUUCCAGGAAGUACAGGUAAGAAGCACAGAGGGCUGAGAGAUACCAUGAAGGUACCAGCAUCAUUCAUUUAUUACUUCUCCUUGAUUAUAAACUCCAUGUAUACAAAACGUUCUACCUGUAAAGACACAUGCACCAAAAGGUGCCUGGAAGACUAUUCCAGAAUAUUAACAUUAAUAAUUCUCACUGAGUAGUGGAAUCUGCAGCAAUUUUGCAACUUUCUACUUCGGGCUUUCUGCAUUGUUUGAAUUUUUCAACAUGAACGUAUAAAACUAAUAACAAUAAUCUCUGCCCUAAUCCCACCACACAGAGGCAACCACCACAGAAUCUUAGAUAUAUUUCCCGUCAGGCUCUGUCCUGUGCAUUCUUUAGCUCACCCUGUAUACACAAUUCUGAAACCUGCCUCCCUCUCCUCUUAACAUUAUAAUGUAAACAUUUCUACAUGUAUACAAAGAACUAACAUCUUUUACAAUCAUCAUUUUAAUUCCUACAAAAUAUCCCACAGUAUGGCUUAUCUAAUUUAUUUAAACAUUUCCCUAUUUUUGGCCACUUAGGUUGCUCUUAAUCUUCACUAUUAUAAAUAGCAUUGUAUUAAACAUCUGUGCUAUGUACUGAAUCGUGUCUCCCCAAAAUUCAUAUGUUGAAGCCCUAAUGCCCAAUGUGAUGGUAUUUGGAGAUACGGGGCCUUUAGGAGAUAAAUAGGUUUAGAUGAGGUCAAGAGGGUAGGGCCCUCAUGGCGGGAUUAGUGCCCUUAUAAGAAGAGACCAGAGAGCUCACAUGCUAGACUGCUCCCUCCCUCUCUCCUUCCCUCCUUUUCUCCCUCUCCCCAUCUCCCUCUCUCCCCCUCUCCUUUUCUCUCCUCUCUCUCUCUGCCAUGUGAGGACACAGCAAGAAGGCAUCCAUCCGCAAGCCAGAGAGAGAGAGACUUCACCAGAACCCAGCCAUGCUGGCAAAGCUGAUCUUGGAUUUCCAGGCUCCAAAACUGUAAGAAAAUAAACUUCUGUUGUUU